rnacentral:lncRNA from 1 species
GGAGAAAUGCCAUCUAUGAAGGUAGGUGAAUUAAGAGCGAUAUUUUAAGUUGAAAACAGAGUUACUAUAAUAUUCUUUAACUUAUCUUCAAUCCAAAAUGGCUAUAGCCUUCCUCAAGUUAGAUAAGUAAAAUAGUCUUUGAUAGAUACUAUAAUUAAGAUGGUUAUAAUUUAAUUUUUUUACAGUUUGAUUUCGUUUGAAAAGAAACACAAACAGCAUAUUACAGAUAAACUGCAUCGUCGUAAAUGAAAUAUCUAAAUCAUAUGCAAUGAAAUAUUUAUAUCAAUUCUUUAAUGCUGCUUUGAAAGUUUUUGUCGAGUAAUAGCUUAUCAAACACAAACCAAGGUUUAAACCACGAGUUUUUACUAAAAUUUCUUGUACCAAGUCAGGAAUAUGGAAGUUGUUUUUAUGCAUGUUGGCUUUUAUUUUUUGUUGCAGUUCAGUGUUUCUGUUGUUCCUUUGUUUUACUCUUACAGUUGAUGUGUUUUCCUCGGUUUUAGUUUGCAACAUGGGUGAGUUGUCUCUUAAUAGAUCAGCGGUAUAUUACCGUGACCUUUAUCGUUUAGAAAGCCAAUGAUGUAUAGGGAUGAAUAAAAAGAUAUACAAGGAAAGAGUAUAUAUUAAGAACUUGCUCUGCAACAUGGCGACAAACGGGAACAACUAUAUCUCAAUCAUGUUAAUGUACAUGUAAGAAUAUAUAUAUAUGUCAGCUCUAAAUGGUCUGGAAUCUAAACAUUAUUAACAGAUUUCACAGAAACAAUCGAAGAUCUGUUAUCAACACCAAAGUCUCCUAAUAGCAAAGAAAAUAUUAAAAACUAGUCAUUUUGGGGCCCUUUAUAUCUUGCUGCUCGGUGUGAGCCAAUGCUCCGUGUUAAAGACCGUACUUUGAUCUAUAAUGUUUUACUUUUACAAAGUGUGACUUGGAUGGAGAGUUGUCUCAUUUACACCCAUUGUCUAGUUCAGUAUCUUAUGCUUUACAAAUCUUCCUUGUUCGGGAAGAUUUAAUGCUUACGUAUGUUUGUGUUUUCAUAUCUAUAUGUUGUUAAUAUUUCUUAUAUUUCAAUUAAAAAUUUAAUGAAAUCAACUAAUUACAUUGUUUGGUUAACUAAUUAAAAACUCUUCAUAUCAAUUGAGACGGUCUGUUAAAGCCAAACUUGUUUAACUUUCCUUAUAUAUCUGACCUAUCAAAGAACCGUUAUAUUAAUGAAGUAGCUAUGGGUAAUGGAACACAUUUUACAUUUGAGUUAUGUAUUGAAAAUGUUUUUUGUACAUAGGGCAUUUAUACCAUGUUCCAUUACCUAUUUCAACCUAAUACCCUAAGUGCAUCUUAUGUCUAAAUAAGUUGGUUUCUCCGGGUGUCCCUUAUAAGUAGUUUUUUUAAACCAUUAUAUUUUUGGAUACACUGUUAAAAAAAAAUAUCCACAUCAGGAAAUAUCUUGAGUGACGUUGUAGAAUAUGUUUUGAGUAUUAAUUCACUACAAAUAAGUUACAAUAUAAAAAUGUCAACAAAUUUAAAUUACAGAACUACCAGGUAAUUUGAAAAAGUGAGAAUCCCAUAAAACCGGAAAAAUAAAAACUUUAGACUAUUUGUAUCAACAAAUGGAAGCAAUAGAAAAUAAUUGUAAUGUUCCCGACUGUAAUUUAUCCAUACAUAUUCUCGGUCUUUAAGUAUAAUGUUCUACCUAGUGAUUACGUUGUAUAGUACUCGACUUGAGUACGAGGUGUCGUGGGUAUGCAGCUAGGUCGGGUUAUCUAAAAAUUAAAAAAUCGGUAUGUGCUGCUUCUUACGAGCGUUAGUAGUUUGAAUUAUGUCUGCUGGUAGAGUGUUCCCGUGGACUGUAACAUUGUGAACUAGUACGGUUAAUCUGGGAACAGAAUAAUUAUGUUCUUGGGUAAAUACUUUACUUAGCUUAACAUCUGGUCCAGUACAUAGAAGGUUUCGUAUUCAUAUCAUAUUAUCAUAUUCUCCUCCUAAUAUGUUUCAUUUUUCAUCGACGUUAAAUCAGUUUCCCUAUCAACGUCACCAUCAUACAUUGCAGAAACACAUGUUUGAAUUCAAUGUGCAUCUGUUCAGAAAACAAUGUAAACUUUAUUGAAAAUCAACAUAUUAACAAGUUCAAGAACGUUAAAAUCAAUGGAUAAUGAUUAAAACUGUUCAGAGCUUGCCGAUUUUUGCUGAGUGUUGUAUUUGGGCUUUGUUUUUGUUUAUUGUUAUAUUAUAAAUCAGGUCAAUUUGGUUUUACUUUUCAAUUGUAACACAUUGUUUUCAUACAAAGUAAAAAAAAACUAAACUACUGGGAGGAAAUUUCAAAAGGAAUUUCAAAGUCCCUAAUCAAAUGGCAAAAUCAAAAAAGCUCAAACACAUCAAACAAAUGGAUAACAACUGUCAUAUAUUCCUGACUUGGUACAGGCAUUAUGAUAGCUUAUGUUAUGUGACAAAUAUUUUUCGUGUAUGUUAAGGACGAGCUCGAUGGUUGGAGGAUGAACGGUGACGUAUAACAACUGUGUACAUCUUCUACCGUUUAUCCCUGGUUGUUAUUUGUAACAUUAGCAAUCAUACCAGAUCUACUUAUUUAAAAAAAAUGCAUAUCGGGUACACCAACAAGAUAUUCUACAAAAAGAUAAAAAAAAAAAUAUCAUGUACAUUAAAUAGAUACUAGAUCUUGCAUCAAAAUAAACAAAGUUAAAUAACAAAUACCAAUUUAUGCAAAAUUAGAGAAAAUUAAAUUAUUUCCUAAAUGGAUCAAUGCAUAUACUAGUACAUGUAUAGCAAAUAUUUGUACAAUUUAACGUUACUUGCUACACGACGGAGGCGAACGAUAUGAUAGGGACAUCCAAACUCAAAAGUAAAAAAUAAACUGACAACGCCAUAGCUAAAAAUUAAAAAAAAAAACAGACAAACAGUAAUACACAAAACAGUGAAAACACUACACACUAAAGAAUGAGCAACACAAACCCUACUGUUCCAUAUAUGGCAGCCGUCAUAUUGCUCAUUUUAGUACAAACCCGGUUCUAAGUCUUAUUUGGUAGGCCACAUUCGGGAAAAAGAGACGAAAUUGUAGCUACGACAUUAGGAACAUAUCAGCUAUUAUCUGUGGAACAGACCCUAUUGGAAGGAAUUGAAAACUUAAACAACCGAUGGUUGUGUGAAAAAAGGGAAACAAAUCUAAAUCCUUUGAUUUACUCGUACAUGAUUCACAAUACGUAUAGCACUUCUAAAAAUAAAAAGGUUCUAUCUUAAAAAUUGGUAGCGAGUUUGACGACAAAAAGUCCUUAAAUGACAUAGUCCAGCAAGUGGUAAUUGUGUAAACAAUCGAAAUCCUGUUACUCGGAGAUGUUCGAGAAAUCGACAAUUAAUGUUUAAAAAAUGUUACUUAAAGAAAAUGCUAAUCCCGUAGAAAAAAAGAAAAAAAUAAAUGAUUAUCUGAAUAUCAAAAAUUAUUUUGUACCGUAAAUUUUAGAGAUUUUAAAAGACAAAAGCAACAACAACAACAGAAGGAAAUAUGAUUCUUUCAUCGACUUCCUGGUAGAGAUAACUUAUAUUUCAUUUUAAUUUUGAUACAUAAUGAGACAUGCAACUUCCUCGAAAUUAAAGUAACAGCUGACGGCAUUUCUGAUUAGAAAAAAGAAAUACAGAAAACAACCAGGUAAAUAUGUUUUGGUUAGAAACUGUAUUUACGUAAUCUUGACAAUUUUAUUACGUCUAUUAUAAUUACCUAAAUUGUAACUUAUAUUUAGUUUCAGUCUUUACUAUAUGCUUUGCUAUCUUCCAUCCCGAAUAACAAAUGUCAGUGGUCAAAGGACAAUAGAUUUAUCUUAUACGAAUAUCUCUGAUAUGAAAAUAAACUUUUCAUCAAUUUUGAUGUACAUGUAAAAUCUGUAAAAAAAAAAAAAAAGAAGUCAAAUUUUCUUUUAAACUUAAAUUCCUGAUUAUCCCUUGUCGUUCAUACAAAAUAUUGUCGAGAUACCCUUUUCGUGACAAGAAAGUAUGAUAUGCGGUUCAACGAAAUAUUAUCUGAAUACCUCUUGUAUGAAUCAAAUUAUACCAUUGUUUCUACUUUAGUAACUAAUAAGAUAUCAAUGGCUGAUUUCCAUUAUCAUAACCAAAAACAAAAACAGCGUUAUUUUUUUUUUUUGGUGAUUCAAUGAUAAAAUAUCAACUGUUCAAGUUUUAUUUUUUGCUUUAUUUUUAGAGAGUAAAUAUAAAUAGGACCCUUGAGCAGACCUGUCUCGUCUUUUUCUCACUCUUUGUUUUUUCUUUUCUUUCUUUUUUAGGGGAGUCUAUAUUUAUGACAGACAAUAGUAACUAUAUCAAAACACACGGAGUGUCCUACAGCUGUUCAUUAUAUCAGUAUACGGUCAUCAAGUCGUGUUCAUUGACAGUUGUUGUCCAUUCGUUUGAUGUGUUUUGUCGUUUAAUUUUGCCAUUUGAUUAGGGAAAUUACUUUUUGAAUUUUACUCGGAAUCAGUAUUUUUGUUAUUUGACUUUUUUUUCAUUCUGAUUGGGAACAUUCAUCAUUCAUUUGAUUCAAAGGACCGUUCCAAUAUAUUUUUUAAAUCUCUACAAAUAGAAAAGACGAACUUCAGCUAUUUGUGACAGAUUUUUUCCACUUAUUGCGAGGCUUUGGUGAUAAAAUGUUGAAUUGUAGAUUUUAAAACUACAAACUUGAAUAAAAAUGCGAUUGACUGUAUUUAGACAUUAAAUGAAGUCCGAGAUUACACACAAGUUUUAUUUAGACAUUAAAUGAAGUCCGAGAUUACACACAAGUUUUUUUUAGAUUUUGUCCUAUAUGCAUAGUCAUUUGGAUCUUGGAAGACUUGCAAAGUGCGUGAGUUCUGAAUAUGGCAUAUUUAUGGCACAUUUUUUUGUUAAUCAGUGUUUGCAUUUUGUUUUGUUGUUGUUAUUGGCUUCUAUAAUCUUGUUUUAAUUAUCUUUUUUUUUUUUGGGGGGGGGUCGUAGUAUUUGUUUUUAGGGUUUAAAGUUACUGGACCUAGGGAUGCUAAAAAUUGACAGAGCUAUAACUAUUUGAAGUCUGAAAUACAAAACUGUUCGGAAGUGUAAAAGAAAAACUUUUUUCACUGGAAUUUGAAUGUAAACCAAAUUGUUUUAUUGGAUGUAAGAACUGAAAAUAAUGCGUUUACACAAAUGACAAUAGAUUAUCAUGUGUCAAUGUUAUCAGUUUACAGGAAACAAUGAAGAAUUUGAUGCUUCUUAUAUUUUGUUUGAUCAUUGCUGUUAACUCAAAUCCAUACAGAAAUAAAGGACACUAUGAAGGUUAGUACAUUAUACACAUACUUUAUUAAAGUAACCGAUGACUGUUGAAAAUCCGUACGGCAAAUACUUCAUGUAUUUUUUUCAUUCACAGAGUCAAGAAUUGAGAAUUGGCAUAUCCUAUUGGAAAUUGAAUAUUUAAGAGUCUAUAAAACCUUGUUUAAAAUUAAAAAGCUAAAAUGAAAUUAAAAUUAAAAAACUUAAAUUAAAAUUUAAAAAAAAAGUAUAAUAUGAUCUUCAAAAUUAUGUUCGUCCUAUUCAUAAAUGAACAAAGCAAUAUAAUUUGGAUAUGUCGGUGCAACAAGGGCACUGAUGUCAUAAUGCCUGAUAAACAACUUGAAAUUGCAUUUUUGACCAAAGAAAAAUGCCGUCGUUCACAUGCAUUGUCGACCAAAUGGAAAUGAGCAAAUUCAAGGCUUUACCCUAUCAAAAAAGAUAUUUAAACAGUUUUUAAAAAAGCUCAUCGAAGAUUAACAUCAUUAUGAAAUACAUUUAAAUACUAAUGGCGUGCUAUCAAAAUAAGUUAUUUUUGCAGUUUUUGAAUGCAUAGACUUCUUUUGCAUUAAUUUUGUACUAAAUAAACUGAAGUAGUGUUGAAGUUGUACCAACGAUUUGUUUUCUCUUAAUUGAUUGAUGACUUCUGAACAACGGUAUACUACUGUGUCAUUUAUUUAUUGCCUAAGGCUAUUAUGUAAGACAAAAUAUUUUUUUGUUAAAAUUAUAUUACUUUUACAGUUAUUUAUAUUAUUUUCUUAAUUUCAAUUUGGGAAAUUACGGUUCAUGUAUAUCUAUUGACAAAUCGGAUUUAAUAUUUAAACUUCCGCUAUAUCGGUUCUAGAGGUGUUAUGCUACCAUUGAUUCUUCCCCUAUUAUUCUUUGUUAAAUUUGCACUUUUCAAAAAAUUGUGCAGAAUUUAUCUUUCUUUCAAAAAACCCAACUUCUGAUCUAGUACUAUACACAAAAUAUCAUAUAACAUUUUAUGGCAUAUAAGAAAAUAAGCAUCACUGGAAGUUAACCGAUAAAUUAUUCACUCCAUUUUAUCCUGUGUACAAUCUUAAGUAUCCGUGUUACCUCAACUAUCUAUACAGAAAAAUCAAAUAAGAAAAUAAUGGUGCUUUGACACACCCAAAAUAUAUGUUUAUAACUCAGAAUUUUUCACAUAAAGGAGAUUUUUUUGUUGAAUUAUCUGAAUAUGACUUUACAAGUCUGGUUAUUUCAUGCAUUACUCAGUGUAUAUAAAGUGCGAAUCCAGCUAGUUCAUUUUCACUAUCAUAUGCGAGUAUGUCUAUUGUAGAAUAAAGGAUAACGGGAAAACUGUAUUUGUUUACGAUUCGAAAAUUCCAAAAUAAUUGAUUUGAAGUUCGUAUCUCUUACAUUGUCUUACUAGUAUUAUUUAUUUCUAAACAUAUACAUUUUUCUAAUUUUGUUCAUUUUCUAUAAAAAAAAAAAAUCCAAAAUAAAACCCGUCUGUUUUAUGGCAUAUACAGUGAAAAUGAUAUUUUAGGAUCCGCACUUUACAUACACUGUUACUGUUAAGCUUUGUCAUAUAUGAUUUUUUUUCAAUUAUAUGUUCAAACCAUUAGCUAGCUAUAAAACAAGGUAGAAAUAUGUUCAAAUCAUUAGCUAGCUAUCAAACAAGGUAGACAUGAAAAUAAAACAAGGGAAAAUAGGUUGUGUAAAAUUUGUAAUACAAAUGAAAUAGAAGAUGAAUUCCAUUUUGUACUAGUUUUUCCAAUUUUGGCUGAUAUAAGAAGAAAUGUUUUACCAUUAUGGUGUCAAAGUAAUCGUUACAGAUACUCAUUAAUUCGUCUUUUUAGAAUUACUUUGAAAAAUCUUGCUGUAUUUCUGAAAAAAGCUAAAUGCUGUUACUAUGACUUUAUGAAAAUGAAUAUACUUGAUAAAUAAAUAAAUUUACUACAAAUACAAGUCUAUUAAAAUAUUUUGAAAAUCUAAUCGUAUAACUGUUCUAGUCGUAUAACUGUUCUAGCCGUAGAACUGUUCUAGUCAUAAAAUAGACCAAAGAUUUUGUCAGUUCUUAGUAGAACUGUCUUAAACUGUUCUAGGGUAGAACUGUAAGGAUCAGUUCUAGGUUAGAACUGUUCUAGCUAGAACUGUCUAAAAUGUGUCAUGAUGACAGUUCUACAUACUGUCCUAGAACAGUUCUCCUGACAGAUUCUGACGAAUGGAUGAGAGGUUAGAUGUGAUCUCCACUGUAGAUUAUACUAGAGUUUUCUCAAACUAUUGAACUGAUAAGGUUAUAUGACAGUUUCUGUAUGUCUUCAUUUAAACAAACAUAAUCCUCAACUUUUGAGUAAAACACACACUUUGGUGAGUUACCAAUGUAAUCUGACCAAGUUUGUAAUUUUAAAAGUCUCUGUUUAAAUAAAUGUAUAAACAGUUUUGUCGAAGAACUGUAAGCAAAACUAACCAAAUCAGUUCUAACCGUAGAUCUGUCAGCAUAACUGAAUAAAUCUGUUCUAACUGUAUAACUGUCAGCAGAACUUUCUAAAACUGUUCUAGCCGUAGAACUGACUAAACCUGUCAGGAUUGUAGAACAGUUCUUAACGAGAUUUUUUUUUUAAUAUAUUAUAUAUUCUUUUGACUUAUUAAUAUUUUAGACAACGAGUCCUUAUAACUGUUCUAUGGAUAGAACUGACUAAAUCAAUUUUGCUCGUAGAACUGACCAAAUCACUUCUAAUCGUAUACUAGUAACUGUUCUAGUCGUAUAACUGUUCUAGCCGUAUAACUGUUCUAGCCGUAGAACAGUUCUAGUCUUAAAACUGUCUAAAACUGUUCUAGGGUAGAACUGAUAAAACCUGUCAGGAUUGUAGAACAGUUCAAAAUGAGAUUUUUUUAAUAUAUAUUAUAUUCUUUUGAACUAUUUGUAUCUAAGACAAAGAGUUCUUAAAACUGUUCUAUGGGUAGAACUGACUACAGCAAUUUUAGCCGUAGAUCUUACCAAAUCAGUUCUAAUCGUAUAACUGUUCCAGUCGUAUAACUUUUCUAGCCGUUAAUAUAAGGGUACUAAAAUAUUGGUACAGCCAAUACCAACAAUGAUCACAGUAUUCCAUGUUUAAUCAUCAUAACUUUUGAGAGAGAUUUGAAAUAGACAAACUUUCAAAAUGCUGAAAAUGUAACGUUGUAACCAAAAAUUUGUAGUACUACAAAUUUCAAGUACAAAUCAAGUAUUUUAAAAUACAGGUACCCAAAUAUUACAAUAAUUUUAAAAUAACAAAAUAGUAUUGAAUAUUAAAAGUAAAUUUCCAGUACUACAGAUUUUUGGUACAGAAAUAUUAUCUAUGAAACGUAGCUGUGUGGGGGACUUGUAUUAAUUAUGUUUGUUUAUGUUACAUAUUAAUGGUGGAUGAUUGUUUCAUUUACAAACUUAUCGCAAUUCCUUAUUUUAAUAUGUAUUUCCCUAGGAUAUGUUGGAUGUUACGUGGACGACGCCAAUAGAUUGUUAAAGUAUAGGGUAGGUCCCUUACAUCGGAUUACAUUAGAGAAAUGCAGACAUCACUGCAGGGGAUUCAGAUAUCUUGGGUUACAGGUAAGCCAUCACUUCAACUUGCUAGACGAUGAUUUAAAUUAACAGAGUAUAUGUGCAUUGCGUUUUUAGUAGACCUGUAAUAAGUGCCGGUCCAAACAUGAUUCAUUAUCGAGAGUUUCAACCGACAAAUUAACCAAAUUAAUUGAAAGCAGAUUUGGUGUUGUUUAAAAAAACAAAUGCGACAUAUAGACGACAAAAAUCAUUAGAAGGACAGAUAACGUCAUUGUCAAAAGACAAAAUUCAAAAUAUUCAACAAAACACUUUAUAGAAAACUAAAGACUGAGUAAGAACCUUGCCAAAAUUCAAGAAAUCUUAGUUGCAUUUUCUAGUUUGACACCUUUCUCGGAACUCGUGUUAACAUUGGGGUUUUCAAAGUUAAUUAUAUUGGAUUCAUUAUAUAAGGGUAUUGGUAUAGAGGCGAAAGAUAUUGAGUUAACAUUCAAAUAUCAUAAGUAGUAAAAUAAGGAAGACGAACAACACGACAUUAAGAAGAAAAAAGCCAGAACAACAUGAACCUCACUAAAACCUGGGUUUGAUAUAACGUGUUUCGGAAGUGUAAGCAGAAUCUGCUCCAUCACGAGUGGCACCCGUCAUGCCGUGGUAGAUGCAUCAUUUUCAACACUUCGAUAUUACAUAAUUCGUGAAACUUUGAACGUGUAAACUCUCUUACCCUAAAUCAUAACCGCCUGUGAAUGAUUGAAAUUUAAAUACGAAGUCUUUCAGGACAAGGGAUAGAAAAUGUCGAGACCGAAAAUAGAAUUGAUAAUGCAACUUUUAAAUGGACCAAAGACCAAAAACUUUUAAAUGGACCGAUGACCAAAAACUCAAAUGGCUGGGUUCCUAAGAAUUAUUUCCAGAAUCGGUCUUUGCUGUAAGAAGAAUAUUUGUAAAAAAAAAUAUAAUUACACAAAAAUCCAUGAUGGGAUGGAUAAAUCUUAUGUAAAGCAUUUAGGUUGAAACUGACCUGAAAAUUUAUACAGUUGGUACAGACUUUUAAAAAUAUCCCUUACAAAAUUUUUAAGUUCCAAAAUUUGUAAAGAUUGGAGAGGCCGGGAUCCUAAAGCCACUCUAAAAUAAAGACAGGUGCACAACUUUUAAAUGUGUGCAAUCUGUCGAUGAAAUUUCAUGGAAAUGAGUUGAAAAAUUCAGCAAUCAGAUGUGAUUGAUGUCAAAUGAUUUCAUCCCAGCUGUAAAAUCACAUUGACCCAGUACGCAGACGGUGGCAAGAGAGUGGCCAAAAAAAAGUACGUUGAAAUCAACAACAGAUUAAAAGACUUUUUGUUUUUUUCAUAUAUCAAUCAAAAAUCAGUAUUUAUACAUUCAAAAAUAACUCAUUCACCUGUCCUGAAAUAAAAGUAAAUUAAACAAGGUUUAUACAGUAUAAUCCUACAUGUAUGAUUGCACUAGUUUUCCAAAAAUAACCACAUGCAUAUUUUUUUUGUUCUUUAUUAAUUAAAAAAAAAAAGUGGCUAUAGGUGGAAUGAACCAUCUUGUGUACACGACUUGUAUAUACUUAUAAUCUUAUGUACAUAGUUCUCAUUCUUAUUCCAACAACUUUCAAUCUUGUGGUGCAAACAGAUGCAUAUUGAACAAACGGAUAUAUAUUCAUUGUUUUAUAAGCUGGGUAAAUCAUUAAUAGGGUAAUACAUUCUCUCUUUAGUGCUAUUCAAACAAAAACAUAUUCAGAAACAACAUUUUUAACAGUUGUCUUACAUUGACAAUGAUCAUAUGGUUAUUUUUGGUGGGUGUUUUUCUUUUAAAUAUUAAAGAGGUGAAAAAAUGAUAUUACUUUUUCUGUUUAGUCGGGUUUUUUUGUUUUCAUUUUCAUAAGAAUAUUAGGUCCCGCACUCUCAGUCAUAUGUAUUAGUUUGUGAUUAGAUCUGUUAAAGAUUAACUGCUAAUGUUAAGUCGAUAAUAUUUGGUAUGCAAAGUUAUUGGCAUUUGCAAGUCUCAUUUAUAUGGAGAUUAUAAAGCCCCGCCCCCUCAUCGUGAUUCAUUGACUUUAAAACAUUUGCAUAGUUUACAAGUUAAUGUUUUUGUUUAGGUUUGUUUAAUGGGAACGACUUAUGAUAAGUCAAUGGCAUUUGGUAUGCAGUUGUAUUAACAUUGGCACAUCUCAUUUCCAUGGAGUUGUUCAGCCAUGUAUCUUGUCAUGGUUUAUCGACUUCGAUUUUUUGCACAACUUGCAUGUUAUAUAGUAUUGCUUUUUUAAUUUCAACAUUUGCAUUAUAAAAAUUACAAAAAAGGCGAAACAUAUCUCUGUGAUAACAAUUUUUUUAAUUGAAUUUGAUGCGAACGCUAUACAAGUGAGAGGUUUAUCUAGCUACUAAGGUAGGAAUAUGACAGUUAUUAUGCAUUCGAUGGCAUGAUGAUUUUGAGCUUUUGAUUUUGCCAUUUGAUUACGGAUUUUUGAAAUUUCUUCGGAGUUCGGUAUUUUUGAUAUUUUACUUUUUGAUAUCAGGCAAAAUCUCAUUUGACGAAUUAAUUGUACAUGCCAAUUCAUUAUUCAAAUUAAAACUCAGAACACGGAUUUUCGUUUGCUUUUGAUGUUUCAAAAUUCUAUUUUCCAGUAUAGGGAUUGGUGCCUUUGUGGAAACCACCUUAACUCACCUGCCUAUCCCCAAGCAUCGGAACUGCAAUGCAACAUGCCUUGUGCAGGCGAAAAUUCUAGAAUGUGUGGUGGAGGUGAUAGGAAUUCCAUCUAUCAUGGUAGGUAAAGUUAAAGGAGAUGAUUUGGGGUAGAUCUGUUAUCUUUUUCUGUAAAUUUCUUCUGAGCAUGUUACAAAAUCCCGUUUUUGAUCUAUUAAUUUUUUUUAAAAGGUGAAAAACAAAUUCACAUUUCUAGAAAAAUGGACGAAAACAAAAUAAAUUAUUAUUUCAAGCUAAGGAUAUUUACAAGUAUGAAGCAGAUAAACAGUUUUUCAUAUCAUACAUUUAAAUACAAUAUAACAGUUGAAAAUUAAAAAUACACCUUUACCUGACCGUAUAUUGGAGUUCCUGGCUCCUAAAGAUUAAAAUAUCAAACAUUAAUUGUCGUUAAGUGUAGUUAAAGAUUUCAGUACAAAAUCCUUUAAGACUGAAGGGCAGAUAGUUAUAUUGAAUUGGAUAGGAAUUCUGUAAUAGAAUAGUAAUUAUGUCGUCGAACAUUGACACCCUUAAUUCAAUACCCCAGUAGAAUAAAAAAAAACAAAAAAAACCAUUAGUUUUCAAACUAAAUGCAAUUGCAAAAAAAAGUACAAAAUUAAAGACAGAAAAUGGUAUACAAAACACAACAUAAAAAACUAAAAACAGAGCAACACGAACCCCAACGAAAACUGGGGGUGAUCUGAGGUCCCCCAGAAGGGUACUAGACAGUAGUUAAAGGGUAAUUUUAUUGUUUCGUUUACAGUAGCAUUUUUCAAGAGCUUGUACUGUCGAUCAUUGCUGUUCUCAAUUGUCCUCACAGCUUUCAAGUUAGUAAGCUCAUUGUCUCAUUGGCAAUAAGUGUGUCUAUCAGUAUGUGAGGAUGAUGAAUCGAAUGCAAAUAACAAAAGUUGCACUAUUAACAAAGGAGUGUUUUUGUCUACCUAUUUUGUAUAUCUAACUAAAUUGGCGUUUAUAAAGCAUUAUAUUUCAUAUGUUUUUUGUUUGUUUGUUUUUUUAAGUUUGAUGGCAUCUUCAAAAGCGACAACGACAGAAUAUAACAACUGAGAGAAUAUAACAGCUGACAGAAUAUAACAGCUGACAUGCAUCGUCGUUAAUAAUAAUAAUAAAAUUAUACAACUAGAUUUUCUUACCAUGUUAUUUAGAAUCCAAAUAAAUCAAAUUGAAG